rnacentral:rRNA from 1 species
GACGAACGCUGGCGGCGUGCCUAAUACAUGCAAGUAGAACGCUGAAGGAGGAGCUUGCUUCUCUGGAUGAGUUGCGAACGGGUGAGUAACGCGUAGGUAACCUGCCUGGUAGCGGGGGAUAACUAUUGGAAACGAUAGCUAAUACCGCAUAAGAGUAGAUGUUGCAUGACAUUUGCUUAAAAGGUGCAAUUGCAUCACUACCAGAUGGACCUGCGUUGUAUUAGCUAGUUGGUGGGGUAACGGCUUACCAAGGCGACGAUACAUAGCCGACCUGAGAGGGUGAUCGGCCACACUGGGACUGAGACACGGCCCAGACUCCUACGGGAGGCAGCAGGAGGGAAACUUCGGCAAAAGACGGAAGUCUGACCGAGCAACGCCGCGUGAGUGAAGAAGGUUUUCGGAUCGGAAAGCUCUGGUGUAAGAGAAGAACGAGUGUGAGAGUGGAAAGUGCACACUGUGACGGUAUCUUACCAGAAAGGGACGGCUAACUACGUG